AACGAACGCUGGCGGCAUGCCUAACACAUGCAAGUCGAACGACACCUUCGGGUCUAGUGGCGCACGGGUGCGUAACGCGUGGGAACCUGCCCUUAGGUUCGGAAUAACUCCCCGACAGGGGUGCUAAUACCGGAUAAUGUCUUCUGACCAAAGAUUUAUCGCCCUUGGAUGGGCCCGCGUUGGAUUAGCUAGUUGGUAGUGUAAAAGCCUACCAAGGCGACGAUCCAUAGCUGGUCUGAGAGAAUGAUCAGCCACACUGGGACGGAGACGCGGCCCAGACUACUACGGGAGGCAGGAGAGGGGGAUAUAGGAAAAUGGGCGAAAGGCUGAACCAGCAAGGCCGCGUGAGUGAUGAAGGCGUUAGGGAUGUAAAGCACGUUUACCCGGGAUGAUAAUGACAGUACCGGAAGAAUAAGCACCGGCUAACUCCGUG
rnacentral:rRNA from 1 species